rnacentral:rRNA from 1 species
GAUGAACGCUAGCGACAGGCUUAACACAUGCAAGUCGAGGGGAAACGAUAGAGAAAGCUUGCUUUUUCUAGGCGUCGACCGGCGCACGGGUGAGUAACGCGUAUCCAACCUGCCCAUCACUUGGGGAUAACCUUGCGAAAGUAAGACUAAUACCCAAUGACGUCUCUAGAAGACAUCUGAAGGAGAUUAAAAGAUUUAUCGGUGAUGGAUGGGGAUGCGUCUGAUUAGCUUGUUGGCGGGGUAACGGCCCACCAAGGCGACGAUCAGUAGGGGUUCUGAGAGGAAGGCCCCCCACAUUGGAACUGAGACACGGUCCAAAACUCCUACGGGAGGCAGCAGUGGGGAAUAUUGGGUCAAUGGACGAGAGUCUGAACCAGCCAAGUAGCGUGCAGGAUGACGGCCCUAAUGGGUUGUAAAACUGCUUUUAUAAGGGAAUAAAAGUGAGUCUCGUGAGACUUUUUGCAUGUACCUUAUGAAUAAGGACCGGCUAAUUCCGUGCCAGCAGCCGUACGG